AUACUAUUACCUCUGUCCCAAAUUACCUGUCUUAGAUUUCAUUUGUCUAGAUACGGAUGUAUCUAACAGUAAAACAUGUCUAGAUACAUCCUUAUCUAGACAAAUCUAAGACAAGUAAUUCAGGACGGACGGAGUAGUAA
rfam:Hordeum vulgare subsp. vulgare, WGS project CAJW01000000 data, contig: morex_contig_1591853